UCAAGUUAUGUGUAGCUGCUGUAAACAUGGACAAAUAUCAAUAUGCAGGCUUUAGGUGGGCGAGUCAGUGGUGCAUCAACGCCCAUAAAGAAUCUGGCAAUACAU